AUCCGAAACGACGUCCGGGGCUCUGAUCCCCGCGGGACUCUUCCACGGGACAGAGAGGGAGAAGAGCGCCCAGGGACUGAGGGAACAACGGCAACAGAGCCUCUCGCCGGUUGGCUGAGGCCCAGACAUUCUGCGCACUGUGCCUGGACGCUGAGGAAAUGUCCAGGGAGACUUUUACUGAAGGACAACCCUGCAUAUGUGCUAUAAUGCCCACACUGAAGAAAUAAAGUAGGUGAAAAGGAGAGGGCUCGAGAGCCCUAGCUGUAUACCCAGAUUUUCCUCUCCAAGGUCAGUGGGCUUUAUGGAGAGCCCACUGUGGGCUGAAAGCACUGACCAAGCCACUGCUCUAGACACACGGGAGAGAAGUGAAAAUCGGAUCAUCGGACCGCUUUCGGUGGCUAAGAGAUUAAAACCUCGGAGGAUCUAACUAAUCCAUUUCUAAGUGCGCCGGGCAGAGAGAGACACCACAAAUUUGUCUGCUGAGCAAACAGGCCGCUUGCGUCAAGAAUUGGGAAGAGUAGCCCAUAGAAAUCAAUACUGAUGAAGCUUUGAAAAGGUUGACUGACUGAACUGGAUUAGCUAUUGAUUUUUGUCCUUUCCGGCAGCUACCGCUCGGCUCUCCACCUGCUGGGGCCAUUAAGCUGGGAGGCUUUAAACCUCUAAUCCCUCACUAAUAACAAACAAGACAAUGGCCCUGAAAGCUAAAGAUCUAACCGAAGGACCCAGAGUUUCAGAUCAGCAUUGAGCUCCUUGGAGAAUGGAAGAUGAUGGAGCCCACAGUGAGCAACUGUUAAAAAUAGCACCAACCUGAAAACUUGUGUAAGAUCAAGCUGAAAAUAACUAGUCCGUCCGCUGAAGGUUGUGGUCCCUUUCAUUCUUGGGAAUAGUCCCAGCAAGCUAGCCAAGCCCCAUCACCUGACUGGAGUCACUGCUAAGAGAAAUUCCUCUAACAGAGAUAACGCGACCUUACCUUCUUCUCUUAGCCACCAGCUACCUUCAGAUCACUCCAUCUUUGGGUUGGGCUGAACUGGUUCUGAUGUGUGGAGUCAACCUGGACGAGGAUUUUACACUUGUGAUUAGCCACAGACACCAACGAAGAAGGAUCUGUGGGCCAGAUCUGGUGGUAAGACCCACCUCGGAUAAAGCAAUGAGGCUACUGCCAACAGUCAGAUCCUAUUAAGGCAUUAAAAUAACAAUGAUCUCA